rnacentral:rRNA from 1 species
AGUGAACGCUGGCGGUAGGCCUAACACAUGCAAGUCGAACGGCAGCACAGUAAGAGCUUGCUCUUACGGGUGGCGAGUGGCGGACGGGUGAGGAAUACAUCGGAAUCUACUUUUCGUGGGGGAUAACGUAGGGAAACUUACGCUAAUACCGCAUACGACCUACGGGUGAAAGCAGGGGAUCUUCGGACCUUGCGCGAUUGAAUGAGCCGAUGUCGGAUUAGCUAGUUGGCGGGGUAAAGGCCCACCAAGGCGACGAUCCGUAGCUGGUCUGAGAGGAUGAUCAGCCACACUGGAACUGAGACACGGUCCAGACUCCUACGGGAGGCAGCAGUGGGGAAUAUUGGACAAUGGGCGCAAGCCUGAUCCAGCCAUACCGCGUGGGUGAAGAAGGCCUUCGGGUUGUAAAGCCCUUUUGUUGGGAAAGAAAAGCAGCAGGUUAAUACCCCGCUGUUCUGACGGUACCCAAAGAAUAAGCAUCGGCUAACUUCGUG